ACACUAGCACCAACACCAAAUCCCAGUACUCCUUGCAGCCCCUCCUAGUCUCCCAUCCCAUCAUCUCACAUCCAAUAGAGGACUGUGAGGGGGCGAAAUGGUUUUUUAAGUAGGAGAACAGUAUGAAAAGCAGCUGUGUCUCACCUUGCUCUCCUUAUGGGGAUGGAGAGUAACUCCAAGACAAGUGGAAGGAGCUGGGCCUGGAGAGAAUCAUCUGUACAACAUGGGAAUGUCUUCGAGAGGGGUAGGCUGGCAUUUCAACUGCUGGUUGGGGCUAGAGAAAGAACCCUUGGAGAGAUGAUUAAGAGAGAUGACCAGAUAAGGAGGAGGCAAAAACCAUCCCUUCACACAUCUUAUUCCUAGAGAUAAUUGACAAUAGGCUCCCAUGGAAGUCUUCUGUGCAUUUCUGCAAAAAUUUAGGAAACAUUAGGUUUGACACCAUCAUCAUGUUUGCCAAGGCAGCAAAAAUCCCAGCCGGCAAAGCUUCAAGUGUGAUGAAGCGGAACAGCAAGGACAGCACGGAAUGACUGAUCAUUUCAGAAUGCCGUCUAGCGAGAGUUUCCAAUGUGGGAGUUUUCCAUUGUUUUGAAGCAGGAGAAAUAGGGACCGGCUGCUUUGGAAGAAACAUGCUGGGUCUGCCCCUACUACGAACUUAUGAGGGUUGAGGAGAAAUUACGUUUUUCCCCCAGCAAGUGUUCAAAUGAGAAAUGAGGAAAUGUGGACACAGAGAAACACCAGGGAUGCUCACACGCAGAGGACAGACCACGGGAAGGCACAGCAAGAAUGUGGCCGUCUGCAAGCCAAGGAGAGAAGCCUCAAGAGAAACCAACCUGCCCUUGAUCUUGGACCUCCACCCUCCAGAACUCUCCCAGCUUCCCCACGGCUUCUGGUAAGGACUCAGCCUCAGAGGGGGAGAAGAGCAGAGGCUGGUUCUCCCUUUGGCUUGUGCAUAGUUUUCCACAGAUUUAACAUGAAGCAAAAGUGACCUGGAAUCUUUUCUCCUUUUAUUGCCAAAAUGCAAAGAAAAGAGUCUUUAGCUCUCAGAAAAAGACUACAUUUAAGAGUGAAAAUAAGAAAAUGUGGGAGUUUGAGGAAAAGUAUCAUCAGCUGUCAAAUGUCAUGAAUGCGCAGUCUUGGUCAAUGGGCCACAUGACCCAAAACUCAUUAUCCUCCCCAAAGCCACCAAUAUCAAUACAUGCACCAAAUGCAUCGACGCAAUAGUUUUCUACCUUGGCCUGUCAAUGAAGUUAUUGAAACUAAA
ensembl:lncRNA novel transcript